AGGACCAGUGAUGAAAAUAUAUCAUGAAGUGUGGCAUAUGAUUAACUCCACUGUCUGUAACUGAGGUCCAA
rnacentral:snoRNA from 1 species